AGGGAACCGAGCGCGGCGCCGCGGCUGCGCAUUCCGUGCGGGACGCCGCUGUCUCCCAAGGGUCGGGAUAAACUAGGGGGCGGUUGAUCUGAAAGUCUUAGCCACGACUAAUAGUCAACCGCCCAGGUGCGACCCGCAGCAGCCUUGGCGAUGCAGCUCGUUCUCCAGACGCGGGUCCACACCGGCGCGUCCUCGCCUCCAGGGACCGAUCGCUGUUCUCCGUGGCCGGAUAACCGACCAAGACGUUUCCAGCCUAAUGCCUGACGCCUUUUGCUUCCUCCAUCCUGGUCCUCAGUCCCUGAACUCCCAGGACAGAAUUCCUGACCUCCUUGGUCAAGCCUUGGAUCGAGAAAGAGAAACUAUUAGUGUAAACAAACCAAUCAACCCCAAAACCAAAACUGUGCCUGCCAAUAGCCCAUUUCUUGGCCAUUGAUGGUGCAUGAAGAGAAAUGGAUCCAAUUAAGAAAAUCUUAAAAUCUUAAGGAAUAAGAAAAUGUAAUAAAGAGAAAGACAAUGUCAUGCUCAGGGAGCUAAUAUGAAUCCCAAAGGAAUAUUGACUGUUCAGGCUCAAGUUAAAUUACAGCAGAUCGAAAGUGAGGAGUUGAGUGGCAUCUUCUUUUCUCUUACUGUCGACCUUGUUAAAUGGGGAGUCCACACCCCUUGCCUACUCCUCCCUCCUCAACCCCGUGACAGUGGGCCUCCCCCCAACUGUAUUGAGCAUGCACUCUAAAACAGUUACUUUUUGAGAAGUCAAGUCUGGUGACCCAUUCUCAGCCCCUCAUCCCUUUGAUCUCCUUGGCAGCAUCCUACCCUAAGGCCUUCUCUAUGCUUCUCUGGACUUCUCUGCUGACCCUUCUCUUCCUUUGAGGACAGUAACAAGGUUUUUCCAACUCUCGAUCUCCCAGUAUCCCAAAGAAAUACCUUCUGAUUUCAAACUGAACCCAUCCAGAUGUCGUGGGACCUGAAGCUUGUAUAACUCCUGGGGGAACUUCUUAAAGGAAAGCAAUAAAAACUUACAAACAUAA
rnacentral:lncRNA from 10 species